AUAACUUUGAUGAUCGUAUUCGACUUCAUUCAUUGACUCGGGAUGUCGGUGGUUGCAGCGCUGGGUUUUCUUUUGGACUCGGCCCACCCCAUUGAUGAACGUCCGCUGUCGCUAUUCCAAGGCAGCGUGAGUGAGUGGAGUGAUAUGAGAAGU
rnacentral:snoRNA from 1 species